rnacentral:rRNA from 1 species
AACGUAGGGGGCCAGCGUUGCUCGGAAUUACUGGGCGUAAAGGGUCCGUAGGCGGUGUGGCAAGUCGGAAGUGAAAUCUCUGGGCUUAACCCAGAGGCUGCUCCCGAAACUGCCGUGCUAGAGUGCGAGAGAGGCGAGUGGAAUUGCGGGUGUAGCGGUGAAAUGCGCAGAUAUCGGGAAGAACACCCGUGGCGAAGGCGGCUCUCUGGGACGGUACUGACGCUGAGACGCGAAAGCGUGGGGAGCGAACAGG